CAAUUUUGUUAAUUCAUUAUUAUUAGUUAGUAUCACAAAACAUAUCAGUUCGGUUCGCUGAUUCAUGAUCAUUUGUAGGAUUUUGUAAAUUAAAAACAACAUCCGAUAAAUUUUGAAAUGCUAAUUAAUAAUAAAUCAGAAAACUAAUUGAUUCUCAUAGUUCUGAAUUGAUGACGACUUAUCGUCAUUUGAAUGAUUUCUUCCUAUUCGAUGGCAGUCUCUGAAAAUUGGAAAAUCAAAAUGUAUUGUUUAGGAUUAAUUAGUUUGUUUAGCCUUUAGUUUUCUGCCUAUAUAAGGCAUCUCAUUGUAUUUUUGUAGUCCCCAAUUAAUAAAAAUGUAGUCAUUAGAGAUUUUUCUCCCCUCUUUUUUAUCGGCAGUUUCUCCCCCCUUUUCUCUUUUCAAUUCAUCUUCUCCGUCAAUUCGAUUCUCCAAUGUUUGUUCAUCAAUCGAUUCUCCAAACUUCACAUGGUAUCAGAGCGCAAAUCGCUGCGCAUCUAUCGCCUCUGAUUACCUCUAUCCUAUUUUUCUCUUUUGAAUCAUAGUUAGGGUUUGUUCUUAGAAUUCAGUUUUUUUAUCGGAGAUAAUCUGUCAUUGUUCUUCCGCAAGUCUCUGGAGAUUUCGUCUAUUACUUCUCACCGGAUUCCGUCUCCUCAUCGCCUAUGUGCUCCAGAUCAGUGAUUUCUCUAUCUUUUGAUCUCAAUUGAGUUUUUAAUUUUUCUUUCAAUUCCGAUUGUAAUCGGUUCUAUUUGCUUCAGAUCUCUAUGUUUGGUGUAGUAUGUUGAUGUAUGGAGUUGUAUGCUCCGUUUUUUUCUCAAUCCUUUGUUCAUUGGAUUUGUAUGAUCCAAGUUUGUAUCCCUCCGAUUGUAUUCGGUCGAGUGUUUUUCGUUUUGAGAAUAUGUUUUUCUCAAAUUUGUUGUUGAAUCUGAAUAUGUUUUCAGAUUUGUCUCUAAUUUUCCGAUUGUAUGUCGGAUGUUUGUUUUGUUGUUGACAUCGUUCGGUAUUUCCUAUUGUAUGUCGGAUGUUUGUUUUGUUGUUCACCGAUUGUUUGGUUGGAUUUGUAUGUUGGAUUGUUCGGUUCGGUUUGUGAAUGUUUGGGUGAGGAGGAAAGGCUAUUUGGUGUUAGUGUGUGUGUUGUUGAAUUGGAGAUCCUUGUGGAGUGGAUUUGGUGGAAGGAUGCUUUGUUCACAAACAUGGUUGCAACUGCAAACCUUUGUAGUUGUUGAUGGUCUUGCGUUGGGUGGGGGAUUGGAGGAGUUCGAGAUACAUUCGACAAGCGAACUAGCCCGCCACAGCCCCUCGUGGCUCGAAUACUUUAGCUUCCCUCCGACGGGUUCCGGCGUGAACUAGCCAAUGUUGGCUCGUAGACUGCACUCCCUCCGACGAGUUCAGCCCCGGUAGACUACCCGCCACCCUCAGACGCGUCCAAGCUCGAAAGCUUGCCAAGCCCCAAGGAAACAACCUUGAAUAGGCCCACAGGGAAAUUAAUCCCAAAGUCGCGCCAUCCAGGAGUCGAACUCAAGACCUCCAGGAUGGUGCCAUAUCCUUGGCACCCUUCUCAACCACUUGAGCUAGGGGGCUUGGAUGUUGUUGAGCCUUAAUUGUUGAAGCCUGGCCAUCUGCCUUGGUCCUCUCUCUCUAGCUUUCGGAUGAAGGAGGUUGAGCUCUCUCAGCUGAAAUAUGAAAUAUGUUUUUGGCUUUGAGGCUGAUCUUGCGUUGAAGAAACUGAUGAGCAGUCUCUGGAAUCUUCUGCUUGCUUUUCUGCAAACAUGGCCGGGGAUGAAAGACGAGUUAGCUGACAUCAUUCAGCCCCAAGAUUUGAAGGAGCUUUGUUCAGUGCUUGUUGUAUAUUCAGGAGAGGCUUGCCCGAACUCUGAGGAACAGCUAUCCCUGCCCUUUCCAUCUCAGCCUCUGUUUGACAAGGCUUUGAUAAAUGUUGGUGGUGAUCUUGCGAAGCUUGAGCCUGGUCGUGUUUUCUACUGAAAUCGAUGCUCGUCUUGCAUAUGAUUUACUCAAGAUGGUUUUUCUCUUGACUUGGAGUUAGAAUAAGUUUUAGUUAGCUCUUUUCCUUUUGUAUUGAUUUUUUGGUCAAGAUUGUUGCAUUUGAUAUGCUCCAUCUUGAGGGAGGCUGUGAAAAUUGGAAAAUCAAAAUGUAUUGUUUAGGAUUAAUUAGUUUGUUUAGCCUUUAGUUUUCAGCCUAUAUAAGGCAUCUCAUUGUAUUUUUGUAGUCACCAAUUAAUAAAAAUGUAGUCAUUAGAGAUU